GUCCCUGUAGCGCAGUCGAUAGCGCGUUGGACUUUUAAUUCAAAGAUCGUGGGUUCGAAUCCUACCUCGGACG